rnacentral:lncRNA from 1 species
UGGAGGACUACCAGCUUAAGAUCAAUCUGGCGCUUGCGUUCGUGGUCAAUAAUCUCCUUGGUGUCGCCGCAAGGUUCGAUUCUCUCUGUCACGGCGGCGGCGCAAAGAACUUGUUGCCCUGACUGUGGUCGGUGGUCACCAAUCCCCAUGGGGUUUGUAAUCUGAUUCCAUUACAUUUAGCUGAGAAAAUUCAACAGAAAAGAAAGCCCCAAUUUGAUUGAAGUUUGAUCAGUGACAACUGAAAAUCAAAAACCUAAAUAUCUAUUUUAUAGUGAAUUCAAAAAGGCAUCGAUCAAUCUAUAUAUAUAUAUAUAUAUAUAUAUAUAUAUAUAUAUAUAUAUAUAUAUAUAUAUAUACACACACACACACGGGCGGACGGGCUGGUGAACUGGUUUGGGGUGGGUGGAAAUGAAAAUUUUAAAUAAACUUUUAGAGUAAUUAAAAAGGAUUUAUUACCAACUAAAUUUAUUAUUUGAUAUUUCAGAUAAAUAGUAGUAAUUGCUUAUUUUUUAACAUGAAGAAUAAUUAAUAAUUGCUUCCCAUUACAAUAAAAAAAAGGCCUAAAUAUGGAUUAAUACCCUAAACUUUUACUUUUUUCACUUUGGGGAUUGUCUUUUCUCAAUUUUUUCAAUUAAGAGAUUAAACUCUUAAUUUUUUUCCACUUUGGGAUUGUCUUCCCAAUUUUUUCAAUUAGGGGAUUAAUCUUUUAAUUUUUUUUUCUUAUUAUGUCUAAUUGAUAGUACCACAUCAGAAAUUGGUGACAUGGAAGCGACACGUGACUAAAAAAUGCUUAUGUACAUGUAAUAUUUCCCACGGAAAAUUCCGUUGAAAAUAACUUUUAUUUUAAAUUAUUUUUUUUCAUGUUUUCAUAUGGCCAAAUGUAGUCAUCAAAUGUACUAACAAGCAUCAAAGAGAACCUAAGUUAGAGCAAUCAAGUCUCUUAAGACUAUAACAUGUGCUUUGGCUUUAUGAAUUGCUCUAUGACAAUAUCAUGCCGCUUUUACUACACAUAAAAGAGAUUGAAAGAUUGGACCAUACCUCAUGAAAUAUGGCAGAUAUGAGGAAGGCAAUUACAACGGCAAUUCCCUGUAUCAGCAGGUAACAACGGAUGAACACAACUUCAUAAACCCCAAACGCGGAACAAAACCAAGCUACUAACAAAGAAAGAAGUAAGAGGAAAUUCCUGUACACCCUGCUUGAAAUCUUAAAGGGAAGGUCUAUUACCUUAGGAUUACCAUUUCUUAAGCAUGGAAAAUAUAUAUGACGGACCAUC